GGCAUGGUGGUGUAGUGGUUAGCACUGCCACCUCACAGCAAGAGGGUCGUGGGUUCGAAUCCGGCCUGUGGCC